UGUGUGUGUGUGUGUGUGUAUUAAGAACAAACAAUCAUCUGUGUGAAUGGGCAGCUAGACACACCAUCCACACCUCUUCAUACAUAAAAUUUAGUAAAAAAUGAAUCUAGAGCUUUUAUCUAUGCAAGUUAACUAUGACUUUGAAUGUGAAUGGAGAUGGUGAAGUUUCAAAGAUUAACAAACUUUCCGCAUUUCACAUCUUCCCUUACCCCUCCCCCAUCCCCAACCCAAAAGGAAAAAGGCG
rnacentral:misc_RNA from 1 species